rnacentral:rRNA from 1 species
UACGUAGGUGGCAAGCGUUGUUCGGAAUUACUGGGCGUAAAGCGAGCGUAGUCGGUUAUUUAAGUCGGGUGUGAAAGCCCCGGGCUCAACCUGGGAAUUGCAUUCGAUACUGGAUAGCUAGAGUUCGGCAGAGGGAAGCGGAAUUUCCGGUGUAGCGGUGAAAUGCGUAGAUAUCGGAAGGAACAUCAGUGGCGAAAGCGGCUUCCUGGACCAGAACUGACGAUCAGGCUCGAAAGCGUGGGGAGCAAACAGG